UACGGGGGGGGCAAGCGUUGUUCGGAAUUACUGGGCGUAAAGGGCUCGUAGGCGGCCAACUAAGUCAGACGUGAAAUCCCUCGGCUUAACCGGGGAACUGCGUCUGAUACUGGAUGGCUGGAGUGUGGGAGAGGGAUGCGGAAUUCCAGGUGUAGCGGUGAAAUGCGUAGAUAUGGGGAGGAACACCGGUGGCGAAGGCGGCCAUCUGGACGGAUACUGACGCUGAGACGCGAAAGCGUGGGUAGCAAACAGG
rnacentral:rRNA from 1 species